rnacentral:rRNA from 1 species
UUUGGUUAAGUUAGAAAGGGCGCACGGUGGAUGCCUUGACACUAGGAGUCGAUGAAGGACGGGACUAACGCCGAUAUGCUUCGGGGAGCUGUAAGUAAGCUUUGAUCCGAAGAUUUCCGAAUGGGGAAACCCACUAUACGUAAUGGUAUGGUAUCCUUACCUGAAUACAUAGGGUAUGGAAGACAGACCCAGGGAACUGAAACAUCUAAGUACCUGGAGGAAGAGAAAGCAAAUGCGAUUUCCUGAGUAGCGGCGAGCGAAACGGAACAUAGCCCAAACCAAGAGGCUUGCCUCUUGGGGUUGUAGGACAUUCUAUACGGAGUUACAAAGGAACGAGGUAGACGAAGCGACCUGGAAAGGUCCGUCGUAGAGGGUAACAACCCCGUAGUCGAAACUUCGUUCUCUCUUGAAUGUAUCCUGAGUACGGCGGAACACGUGAAAUUCCGUCGGAAUCUGGGAGGACCAUCUCCCAAGGCUAAAUACUCCCUAGUGAUCGAUAGUGAACCAGUACCGUGAGGGAAAGGUGAAAAGCAC